rnacentral:lncRNA from 1 species
AUGUUUUUAUUUCCAUCCCAACAUUUUUUUUCCUUCCCAACAUUUUUUAUUUCCUUCCCAACAUUUUUUGUUUCUUGCCCAACAUUUUUAUUUCCUUCCCAACGUUUUUGUUUAAUUCCUGGUUUUUCCUUCCCAAUGUUUUUGUUUCAUUCCCAAAGUUUUUGUUUCCUUCCCAACAUUUUUUGUUUCCUUCCCAACAUUUUUGUUCCCUUCCCAACAUUUUUAUUCCCUUCCCAACAUUUUUUGUUUCUUUCCCAACAUUUUUAUUUCCUUCCCAGCGUUUUUGUUUCCUUCCCAUCGUUUUUGUUUAAUUCCUGGUUUUUCCUCCCCAACAUUUUUAUUCCCUUCCCAACAUUUUUAUUUCCUUCCCAACAUUUUUGUUCCCUUCCCAACAUUUUUAUUCCCUUCCCGAUGUUUCCCUCCCAACAUUUUUAUCCCCUUCCUAUAUUUUUUCUUUCCUUCCUGCUGUUUUCAUUUCCCUGCCAGGAAUUCCCUUCCCACCCCCACCCGCUGUGCUCACCCAAACUCUUGGCCAGGGUGGGAUUUAAAUUUGGGGAUUAUUCUGGAAUUAUUCAGGAAUUAUUCUGGAAUUAUUCAGGAAUUAUUUGGGAAUUAUUCGGGAAUUAUUUGGGAAUUAUUCUGGAAUUAUUCCGGAAUUGUUCAGGAAUUAUUUCAGAAUUAUUCCGGAAUUAUUUGGGAAUUAUUCAGGAAUUAUUCGGGAAUUAUUCUGGAAUUAUUCGGGAAUUAUUUGGGAAUUAUUCAGGAAUUAUUUCAGAAUUAUUCUGGAAUUAUUCCGGAAUUAUUCAGGUAUUAUUCAGGAAUUAUUCUGGAAUUCUGGAAUUAUUUGGGAAUUAUUCAGGAAUUAUUCGGGAAUUAUUCAGAAUUAUUCUGGAAUUUUUUUGGGAAUUAUUCGGGAAUCAUUUGGGAAUUUUUUGGGAAUUUGGGGAUUUCUGCCCAGCCCGGGGGGGCCUCGCUCUCCCCUCUCCUCUCCUCAUGCUCCCCCAAAAUCCCCCUGAAAAUCCCAAAUCUGCAGCCCCGGGGCCCCCCCGGCCCUUCAGGGAUUCUCCUCAUUUUCAUUUUUGGGGUUUAUUUUUCAUUUCUUUUGCUUUUAUUUUUCAUUUUUGCCUUUUAUUUUUCAUUUCUUUGGGUUUAUUUUUCUUUUUCCUCCUUCUGGUGCCUCGCCAGCCCCUAAAAUUCCCUUUUUUUGGUGUUUUUUCCCCUCCUGUUUGCGUGGCCGUUUCCGUGUUGGUCGCUUGGUUGUUGAUCGUUUUUUUGGGUUUUUUUUUUAAUGAAAAAUGGAAUUAUUUACAGAGAAAUGAGCAUUUACCUUAA